rnacentral:rRNA from 1 species
CUGCUGCCUUCCGUAGGAGUCUGGUCCGUGUCUCAGUACCAGUGUGGGGGACCUUCCUCUCAGAACCCCUACGCAUCGUCGCCUCGGUGGGCCGUUACCCCGCCGACUAGCUAAUGCGACGCAUGGCCAUCCUAUGCCGGAGUCGCCUCCUUUGACCCCCAAGAAGAUGUCUCCUAAAGGUGUUAUGCAGUAUUAGACGGAAUUUCUUCCGCUUAUCCCCCCUGCAUAGGGCAGGUUCCAUACGUGUUACUCACCCGUGCG